GGGGUUGUAGCCCUGUGGUUAGAGCGUCGGACUCACGACUCGAAGGUCGGGGGUUCGAUUCCCGAUUCCA
rfam:Macrostomum lignano uti_cns_0015062, whole genome shotgun sequence.